UAGUGUAUUGGACUACCUGGCUUUAACGGGAAACGGAGGAUUAGGGUUCGAUUCCGGGGGGGGAGCCUGAAAAACGGCUACCACAUCUAAGGGAGGCAGGAGGCGCGUAAAUUACCCACUCCUAACUCAGGGAGGUAGUGACAAGAAAUAACGGACCGAAGCAUUUGUUUCGGGAUUGCAAUGAGUAGAAUUUAAACCCCUUUACGAGGAUCAAUUGGAGGGCAAGUCUGGUGCCAGCAGCCGCGGUAAUUCCAGCUCCAAUAGCGUAUAUUAAAGUUGUUGCAGUUAAAAAGCUCGUAGUUGGAUUUCUGGGAGGGUGCCAAUGUCCGCUCGUAAGCGUGUGCAGCGGCGCCCUUCCAUCCUUCUGUUAACGUUUCUUGGUAUUCAUUUACUGGUUUCGGGCUCAGAUAUUUUACCUUGAGAAAAUUAGAGUGUUUCAGGCAGGCUUGCGCCGGAAUACAUUAGCAUGGAAUAAUAGAAUAGGACUUUUGUCUCCUUUGUUGGUUUGGGGACUGAAGUAAUGAUUAAUAGGGAUAGUUGGGGGCAUUAGUAUUUAAUUGUCAGAGGUGAAAUUCUCGGAUUUGUUAAAGACUAACUUAUGCGAAAGCAUUUGCCAAGGAUGUUUUCAUUAAUCAAGAACGAAAGUUAGGGGAUCAAAGACGAUC
rnacentral:rRNA from 1 species